ACAACCUAAGCACAAACAAAGUUCUCUAAAACAAAAUGUCAGGACAUAUUGUCUGACAUCACAAUAAGUACAUAUCAACCUAAGCACAAACAAAAUUCUUUGAAACAAAAUGUCGAGAUAUUCUAUCUGACAUCACAAUAACUACACAAUAACCUUGAUACAAACAAAUCAAACUCCCCCUUAAUGUCAUGAUCAACAACACAUAAAUAACUCCUCCUGUCACACAG
rnacentral:lncRNA from 1 species